AAGUACCUUACUAUAGUUCCAGAAAAGCUAUGUAUGGAUAGAUUCAUUAUUCCACGAGUAUUUUUAAAAUUCUACUGCAUAUCAGGUACUGUGCUAAAUUACUGGGAUACAAUGGUGAAAAAGACAAGAAGGUUUCCAAUCAAGAAACUUAUAGUCCAAUGGAGGAAAUAGACUCUAAGAAGCACUAUGAUGCUGUAACACAUGCUAUAAACAGAAGAUAAGGAGGAGGUACUAUGGGAGCAUACAGCAAGGCCUUUGUACCUGUCUCAACAAAUUACUACAGAAAUGUGGUCGACGUGACGCUGCAGGACCUUUGCCAGCUUCUCCCGUUGCGCUGCUGCCACUCAGAGUGACCAUGUGGAGAGACGUUGCUCCGGUCUCAGCCACUCCAGCCACCAGCUGUUAGACCCCUUGCAGGUCAGACACCAGACGUGUGAGCUCUUCUCUGAGAUCACACCUUCAGCUUCAGCUGCGUGAGAUCCCGAGCAAGAACUGCUUUGUUGAGUCCAGUCAACCCCAGACACAUAAAUAAAAUUAAUGACUGUGAAUGUUUUAAC